rnacentral:lncRNA from 1 species
UCAGCCUUCGCAGCCCGUGGGGGACCACCCAGCAGGGUCCUGGGCCCACAGCCAGGUCUUUACUGCUCCUGGGGCUGUGCCACGUGCUGGACGGGGGUCUGGGUCGCCUCCUCCCUGAAGACCAUCAGGCAGGCAAGGCCCCGGGUCUGACAGCAGAGGCCCUGGAUGUUCCCCAGGUAGGGAAGCCAAGUAACCACCAGUUGAAGGGUCAUCCCCAAAGCAGCAUCUACUCGAGUAGAAGGAACCCAGGAUUCGGUCAGGUCUAAUUUUGAAUCCAACUGCCCCAUUUCUGGCUGCAUGUCUUGGGCUCCUGUUUCCUCACCUGCCAGAUGCCUGUUACUCAGCACGCGCUCUGAAGCUGUUGGAUUUGAUGAGUCUCAAGUGGCAUCAGGCCCAAGUCGAGAGCUGCACAAAUUGGAGUGUCUCCUGCCCAUGUUGAGGAAGGGGGGCACCCCCAUGGGCCUGAGCUGGGCUAAGACAUGAGGCCAGCAUCCCCUGCACCAGGCCAGAUUCUGAUCCCAAAGCUCCCUGGGUCUGCAAGUUUCUAGGGGCACCUCUGCCACGGGCCCAGCUGGCAGGGAGGACAUGGAAGCUGGAGGGUGGGAUGGGGUGGCUUCUUGGGGUUCGGGGGCUUGGUUAGCUGUUGAGGACCCCUCUGCAGGGGCAGGGAGUAGGGUUUAAUCAUGGGAAGGGGCUGGUCGCAACCCGGAGCCCACUGCCCUACGUCACAGCACGUUUGGGCAGGGAAACUGAGGCAGAAGCCCAGCUGGGUGGCCUGGGGACUAGCUGGGGAUGGGGUAGCUGUGCCUGGGAGCGACACCACCAAAGAGGGUCCAGGAACAGCUCUGGUCAGAGAAACCUCCUCCCCUCCGACUUUCAGGUCCUUGACAGAGGAGGCCAAGCAUCCCAGGGAGGGGCAGGGAACAAGUUCCGUGCAGGGCCAGCAUCGAGGCCUGAAUGCCCCGUUUCAGAUGGGAGGCCAGGCCUGCAGCUGGUGGAGGAGGCCACGUGGGUGCUACCCUGGACACGACCAGAGAUGAGCAAGGACCAGGAGGAAGAGAAUGGAGAGGUCCCUGCCCAGAGCAGCGCUUGGUGGAGCUCCGGCACUGUCCACACAGAGCACCUGGCCCCAGCUCCCAAAAUGUCUGGGAUGCCUCGGGCCCUCAGUGCAGAAGCACCUUUUCCAAGUGGAUCUGCUGGUCCAGCACAGCCACUCGCAGCUUGAGGGCCGCCAGGGUCUGCAGCUCCUGGGUGCUGG